GACGAACGCUGGCGGCGUGCUUAACACAUGCAAGUCGAACGGAAAGGCCCUGCUUUUGUGGGUUGCUCGAGUGGCGAACGGGUGAGUAACACGUGAGUAACCUGCCCUUGACUUUGGGAUAACUUCAGGAAACUGGGGCUAAUACCGGAUAGGAUCUCCUGCUGCAUGGUGUGGGUUGGAAAGUUUCGGCGGUUGGGGAUGGACUCGCGGCUUAUCAGCUUGUUGGUGGGGUAGUGGCUUACCAAGGCUUUGACGGGUAGCCGGCCUGGGAGGGUUAACGGCCACAUUGGGACUGAGAUACGGCCCAGACUCGUACGGGAGGCAGCAGUGGGGAAUAUUGCACAAUGGGCGGAAGCCUGAUGCAGCAACGCCGCGUGCGGGAUGGCGGCCUUCGGGUUGUAAACCGAUUUCGCCUGUGACGAAGAGUGAGUGACGGUAAUGGGUAAAGAAGCACCGGCUAACUACGUG
rnacentral:rRNA from 1 species